AUGAUGAGGUGCAAGAGGAAAAUACGGGGGAAGAGCUGAGUGGAGCGGAAGAACAGAACCUAGAGGAACUUUUGAGGGAAAGAGGAAUUAUUUUCCCGGAAAUUUCUUACUCGCCGGAAUAUUAGUGAUCAAUGAUCAACACGAUCAACGGUAAGCAAGAAAGGGAAUAAUCCUGUAUAGAGUUCAGUGGAGGAGGGGGAGGAAUGGAAGAAAAUACGCAGCAGCAGCAGCAGUCGGCGGAAAAUCAAGCCAAAGAAACCGACGACAACGAGAUAGGAGUUCGUGGGGAGGAGAGACUGGAGAGAGAAGAGGAGAAAGAAGCGCUGUUUCCGGAGAAUCAGGUUGGUGCGCCGGAACAGAU